GACGAACGCUGGCGGCGUGCUUAACACAUGCAAGUCGAACGAAGAGCGAUGGAAGCUUGCUUCUAUCAAUCUUAGUGGCGAACGGGUGAGUAACGCGUAAUCAACCUGCCCUUCAGAGGGGGACAACAGUUGGAAACGACUGCUAAUACCGCAUACGAUCUAAUCUCGGCAUCGAGGAUAGAUGAAAGGUGGCCUCUACAUGUAAGCUAUCACUGAAGGAGGGGAUUGAGUCUGAUUAGCUAGUUGGAGGGGUAACGGCCCACCAAGGCGAUGAUCAGUAGCCGGUCUGAGAGGAUGAACGGCCACAUUGGGACUGAGACACGGCCCAGACUCCUACGGGAGGCAGCAGUGGGGAAUCUUCCGCAAUGGACGAAAGUCUGACGGAGCAACGCCGCGUGAGUGAUGGCGGCCUUCGGGUUGUAAAGCUCUGUUAAUCGGGACGAAAGGCCUUCUUGCGAAUAGUGAGAAGGAUUGACGGUACCGGAAGAGAAAGCCACGGCUAACUACGUG
rnacentral:rRNA from 1 species